AGCUCCAAUAGCGUAUAUUAAAGUUGUUGCGGUUAAAAAGCUCGUAGUUGGAUUCCUGUCUUCGGCCGGGCGGUGCCGCCCGAUCAAAGGGCGUCGCACUGCUUUGGGUCGGCGGUGUCAAAGCCGUCGACUUUUAACGGUCGGACAAUACCACCGGAGCGGUCGCGUCGGUCCGUCGGGCCUCAGGGUUCGGCGGUCGCCGGCGCGGGCCGUAAACGUCCGAGGGGGCCUUAACGUUUACUUUGAACAAAUUAGAGUGCUCCAAGCAGGUUCAUACCUUCGCCUUAAUAGUACAGCAUGGAAUGAUUGAAUAGGUCCUCGUUCUUAUUUUGUUGGUUUUUCUAGACCCGAGGUAAUGGUUAAUAGAGACGGACGGGGGCAUUCGUACUGCGACGCUAGAGGUGAAAUUCUUGGACCGUCGCAAGACGAACGACUGCGAAAGCAUUUGCCAAGAAUGUUUUCA
rnacentral:rRNA from 1 species